rnacentral:tRNA from 1 species
AGUCCUGUAGCUCAGUUGGUCUAGAGCGCUUGCCUGAUAAGCAAGAGGUCCCCGGUUCAAGUCCGGGUAGGGCUAC